rnacentral:rRNA from 1 species
UACGAGUGCCCCAAGCGUUAUCCGGAAUCAUUGGGCGUAAAGGGUGUGUAGGCGGUUGUGUUAGUCUUUUGUUAAAGCUCCCGGCUUAACCGGGAAAGUGCAAGAGAUACGGCACAACUAGAGGAUGCGAGAGGUGAACGGAACUCAUAGUGUAGGGGUGAAAUCCGUUGAUAUUAGUGGGGAACACCAAAUGCGAAGGCAGUUCACUGGCGCAUUCCUGACGUUGAAACACGAAAGCGUGGGUAGCGAAUGGG